GGGGACGUGGUGAAAUCGGUAGACACAACGGACUUAAAAUCCGUUGACUUUAAACAGUCGUGAGGGUUCGAUUCCCUCCGUCCCCA
rnacentral:tRNA from 1 species